GGCCGAUGAUAUCGAUGUGCAUUUGUUACUCGAGGAUACUAGGAGGUAAGUAAACUAGAUUUCCAAACGAAUCACAAUAAACAAUAUAUAUGUUUGAUAUGUUUGGAAAGCCUAUUUUUAUAUAUGUACGGAUAUUGAUAUGCUAUGCCCAUGUGUUUAUACGAUGUGUUGAUAUGAUGUGUUGUUAUGUGUGUUUAUGGACAUGGGCAUACGUAUGUGUGAAUAUUUCAUUGGCAUGAGCACGAAAAUGCAUUAUGUUUUCUGUAAAAUGAGAAAGUUGAUUUUAGCAAAC
rnacentral:lncRNA from 1 species